rnacentral:rRNA from 1 species
UACGUAGGUGGCAAGCGUUGUUCGGAAUAACUGGGCGUAAAGGAUGCGUAGGCGGUUAAACAAGUUAUAUGUUAAAUAUAUAGGCUUAACCUGCAGAAAGCAUAUAAAACUGUUUAACUAGAGUGCAGGAGAGGUAAGUGGAAUUCCUAGUGUAGCGGUGAAAUGCGUAGAGAUUAGGAAGAACACCAGUGGCGAAGGCGACUUACUGGACUGUAACUGACGCUGAGGCAUGAGAGCAUGGGGAGCAAACAGG